rnacentral:rRNA from 1 species
CAGUAGCCACGGGAAAACGGAGGGGGCUAGCGUUGUUCGGAAUUACUGGGCGUAAAGCGCACGUAGGCGGCUUGGUAAGUUAGAGGUGAAAGCCUGGAGCUCAACUCCAGAAUUGCCUUUAAGACUGCCGAGCUAGCAGGUGAGAGAGGUAAGUGGAAUUCCGAGCGUAGAGGUGAAAUUCGUAGAUAUUCGGAAGAACACCAGUGGCGAAGGCGGCUUACUGGCUCAUACUGGACGCUGAGGUGCGAAAGCGUGGGGAGCAAACAGGAUUAGAUACCCCUGUAGUCCCUGUCUCUUAUAA